AACGUUACUCCAAUGUGCUGCCCCAAGUUAGAAACAGAACAAACGCGGGAUACAGAGAUGAGGUGUCGGGUCGCCGGCGGCGGACCUCACCGUGUGCUGCCUUAUGACCUCGCCGUGUUCCGAAAUCCAGCAGAUAGCACGCCCCAUCCCCGGCCCGCCGUUCUCCACCUCGGCUCCAACACCUCACCACACCCGACGCCUACCACCGUCAUCCGUCGACGGCUAGAUCCGCCAUCCGUGAAUGCCUAGCUCCGCUAUUCGCCGAGACCGGAGAAGGGAACUCCAGCCUUCAGACUCCAGUAGCGAUGGUUCCGAUGAAGAUUUCAGGAACUUCCUUGGCGACAGUGACAAUGCCUACUGAAGAGGGUGAAGCGACACCCAGGCACCAUCUUUUGGUUCCCAAUAACGAAUGUUUAUAGCAGCAAUGAUAUGUAUGAAGAUUAUCUCCAUACAUAUUUUCAGGCCGCACAAGUCUCAGGCUCUAGUUAUUUUUGGCACCAUGUAAACAAGAAUGUACACUUGCCAAAAAAUAAAAUAGUAUGCAGCAUUUUUGGUACUUCAGAUGGGUGAUUGUUGUACAGUUCAUGUGCAUGCUUGCGAUGCUCCAAUGUAAAAUAGUAUGCAUGUUCUUGAAUGGAAGCAUCUAAAGAAAUGUGUUCAAAGA